rnacentral:tRNA from 1 species
GCCGGAAUAGCUCAGUUGGGAGAGCGUUAGAUUUAAGAUGUGCACGCAACAGUCAUCUGAAGACCUCCCGGUUCAAUCCCGGGUUCCGACA